GAUGAACGCUGGCGGCGUGCUUAACACAUGCAAGUCGAGCGGAAAGGCCCAAGCUUGCUUGGGUACUCGAGUGGCGAACGGGUGAGUAACACGUGGGUGAUCUGCCCUGCACUUCGGGAUAAGCCUGGGAAACUGGGUCUAAUACCGGAUAGGACGAUGGUUUGGAUGCCAUUGUGGAAAGUUUUUUCGGUGUGGGAUGAGCUCGCGGCCUAUCAGCUUGUUGGUGGGGUAAUGGCCUACCAAGGCGUCGACGGGUAGCCGGCCUGAGAGGGUGUACGGCCACAUUGGGACUGAGAGACGGCCCAGACUCCUACGGGAGGCAGCAGUGGGGAAUAUUGCACAAUGGGCGCAAGCCUGAUGCAGCGACGCCGCGUGGGGGAUGACGGCCUUCGGGUUGUAAACUCCUUUCGCUAGGGACGAAGCGUUUUUGUGACGGUACCUGGAGAAGAAGCACCGGCUAACUACGUG
rnacentral:rRNA from 1 species